UACAGAGGGUGCGAGCGCUGUCCGGAAUCACUGGGCGUAAAGGGCGCGUAGGCGGCUUGAUAAGCGUGCGGUGAAAGCCCGGGGCUCAACCCCGGGUCGGCCGUGCGAACUGUCGAGCUGGAGCACUGUAGAGGCAGGUGGAAUUCCGGGUGUAGCGGUGGAAUGCGUAGAGAUCCGGAAGAACACCGGUGGCGAAGGCGGCCUGCUGGGCAGUGGCUGACGCUGAGGCGCGACAGCGUGGGGAGCAAACAGG
rnacentral:rRNA from 1 species